rnacentral:rRNA from 1 species
AUUGAACGCUGGCGGCAUGCUUUACACAUGCAAGUCGAACGGUAACAGGCCGCAAGGUGCUGACGAGUGGCGAACGGGUGAGUAAUGCAUCGGAACGUGCCCAGUCGUGGGGGAUAACGCAGCGGAAGCUGCGCUAAUACCGCAUACGAUCUGUGGGUGAAAGCGGGGGACCGAAAGGCCUCGCGCGAUUGGAGCGGCCGAUGUCAGAUUAGGUAGUUGGUGGGGUAAAGGCCCACCAAGCCAACGAUCUGUAGCUAGUCUGAGAGGACGACCAGCCACACUGGGACUGAGACACGGCCCAGACUCCUACGGGAGGCAGCAGUGGGGAAUUUUGGACAAUGGGCGCAAGCCUGAUUCAGCAAUGCCGCGUGCAGGAAGAAGGCCUUCGGGUUGUAAACUGCUUUUGUACGGAACGAAACGGCUCUGGUUAAUACCUGGGGCUAAUGACGGUACCGUAAGAAUAAGCACCGGCUAACUACGUGCCAGCCGCCGCCGUAACAC